ACUCAAAGGAAUAGACGGGGACCCGCACAAGCAGCGGAGCAUGUGGUUUAAUUCGAAGCAACGCGAAGAACCUUACCAGGGCUUGACAUCCCCCUGACAGGCGCUUAACCGCGCCCUCUUUCGGGCAGGGGAGACAGGUGGUGCAUGGUUGUCGUCAGCUCGUGUCGUGAGAUGUUGGGUUAAGUCCCGCAACGAGCGCAACCCUUGUCAUUAGUUGCCAUCAUUAAGUUGGGCACUCUAGUGAGACUGCCGGGGAUAACUCGGAGGAAGGUGGGGAUGACGUCAAAUCAUCAUGCCCCUUAUGUUCUGGGCUACACACGUGCUACAAUGGCCGGUACAACGAGCAGCAAAGCCGCGAGGCGGAGCAAAUCUUGAAAACCGGCCCCAGUUCGGAUUGCAGGCUGCAACUCGCCUGCAUGAAGUAGGAGUUGCUAGUAAUCGCAGAUCAGAAUGCUGCGGUGAAUGCGUUCCCGGGUCUUGUACACACCGCCCGU
rnacentral:rRNA from 1 species